CUUCUGUCAUGCUCGUUAUCAUGCUCGUGGUAACUUGAGCCGAUAAGAUAUUAAACGGGGGAUUUUUAAUCAGCAUUGUUGUGCAUGUCCAUCCACGUGGAAAGCCUGAAGUGCUGAAAAAGAUGCCCACUUGAACCUCUGGUUCAAGUUCAAUGCAAUGAGACGGCAUCGCGGUUG
rnacentral:other from 1 species